rnacentral:rRNA from 1 species
GACGAACGCUGGCGGCGUGCUUAACACAUGCAAGUCGAACGGAAAGGCCCUGCUUUUGUGGGGUGCUCGAGUGGCGAACGGGUGAGUAACACGUGAGUAACCUGCCCUUGACUUUGGGAUAACUUCAGGAAACUGGGGCUAAUACCGGAUAGGAGCUCCUGCUGCAUGGUGGGGGUUGGAAAGUUUCGGCGGUUGGGGAUGGACUCGCGGCUUAUCAGCUUGUUGGUGGGGUAGUGGCUUACCAAGGCUUUGACGGGUAGCCGGCCUGAGAGGGUGACCGGCCACAUUGGGACUGAGAUACGGCCCAGACUGCUACGGGAGGCAGCGGUGGGGAAUAUUGCACAGUGGGCGGAAGCCUGAUGCAGCAACGCCGCGUGCGGGAUGACGGCCUUCGGGUUGUAAACCGCUUUCGCCUGUGACGAAGCGUGAGUGACGGUAAUGGGUAAAGAAGAACCGGCUAACUACGUG